GUGCUCGCUUCAGCAGCACAUAUACUAAAAAUGGAACAAUACGCAGACGAUUAGCCUAGCCCCUGCAGAAGGAUGACAUGGGGGAAAAAAAGAAGAAAAAUCUUACA